UACGUAGGUGGCAAGCGUUGUCCGGAUUUAUUGGGUUUAAAGGGUGCGUAGGCGGCUUUGUAAGUCAGUGGUGAAAUAUCGCAGCUCAACUGUGAGGGUGCCAUUGAUACUGCAAAGCUUGAGUACAGAUGAGGUAGGCGGAAUUGACGGUGUAGCGGUGAAAUGCUUAGAUAUCGUCAAGAACACCUAUAGCGAAGGCAGCUUACUAGGCUGUAACUGACGCUGAGGCACGAAAGUGUGGGGAUCAAACAGG
rnacentral:rRNA from 1 species